rnacentral:rRNA from 1 species
UGUUCUUCGGAGACAGGUGCACACGGAAGAGACUGCCAGUGUUAAACUGGAGGAGGAGGGGGCUACGGCAGGUCAGCAUGCCCCGAAUCUCCCGGGCCGCACGCGGGCUGCAAUGGCGAGGACAGCGGGUUCCGACCUCGAAAGGGGUAGGUAAUCCCUUAAACCUCGCCGUAGUUGGGAUUGAGGGCUGUAACCCGCCCUCAUGAACAUGGAAUCCCUAGUAACCGCAUGUCACCAUCGUGCGGUGAAUACGUCCCUGCUCCUU